rnacentral:rRNA from 1 species
GACGAACGCUGGCGGCGUGCUUCACACAUGCAAGUCGAACGAAGUGGCGAACGGGUGAGUAACGCGUAAUCAACCUGCCCUUCAGAGGGGGACAACAGUUGGAAACGACUGCUAAUACCGCAUACUGAAGGAGGGGCUUGCGUCUGAUUAGCUAGUGGGAGGGGUAACGGCCCACCAAGGCGAAGAUCAGUAGACGGUUGGAGAGGAUGAGCGGCCAAAUUGGGGCUUAGACACGGCCCAGACUCCUACGGGAGGCAGCAGUGGGGAAGCUUCCGCAAUGGACGAAAGUCUGACGGAGCAAAGCCGCGGGAGUGAUGACGGCCUUCGGGUUGGAAAGCUCCGUUAAUCGGGAAGCGGUAUCGGAAUAGAAAGCCACGGCUAACUACGUGCCAGCCGCCGCGGUAAUUC